rnacentral:rRNA from 1 species
GAUGAACGCUAGCGGCAGGCCUAACACAUGCAAGUCGAGGGGCAGCACAAAGAUAGCUUGCUAUUUUGGUGGCGACCGGCGCACGGGUGCGUAACGCGUAUGCAAUCUACCUUAUACUGGGGUAUAGCCCGAAGAAAUUCGGAUUAAUCCCCCAUAGUACUGAUAUACCUCAUGGUAAUUCAGUUAAAGUUUCGGCGGUAUGAGAUGAGCAUGCGUCCUAUUAGCUAGAUGGUAAGGUAACGGCUUACCAUGGCUACGAUAGGUAGGGGGCCUGAGAGGGUGACCCCCCACACUGGUACUGAGACACGGACCAGACUCCUACGGGAGGCAGCAGUGAGGAAUAUUGGUCAAUGGGCGCAAGCCUGAACCAGCCAUGCCGCGUGCAGGAAGAAUGCCCUAUGGGUUGUAAACUGCUUUUAUUUAGGAAUAAACCUUUCUACGUGUAGAAAGCUGAAGGUACUGAAUGAAUAAGCACCGGCUAACUCCGUGCCAGCAGCCGCGGUAAUACGGAGGGUGCAAGCGUUAUCCGGAAUCAUUGGGUUUAAAGGGUCCGCAGGCGGGCGUAUAAGUCAGUGGUGAAAUCCUGCAGCUUAACUGCAGAACUGCCAUUGAUACUGUACGUCUUGAAUUCGGUCGAAGUGGGCGGAAUGUGUAGUGUAGCGGUGAAAUGCAUAGAUAUUACACAGAACACCGAUAGCGAAGGCAGCUCACUAGGCCUGGAUUGACGCUCAGGGACGAAAGCGUGGGGAUCAAACAGGAUUAGAUACCCUGGUAGUCCACGCUGUAAACGAUGAUUACUCGUUUUCGGCGAUAUACUGUCGGAGACUAAGCGAAAGUGAUAAGUAAUCCACCUGGGGAGUACGAUCGCAAGGUUG